CACGGUCCAGACUCCUACGGGAGGCAGCAGUGGGGAAUAUUGCACAAUGGGCGCAAGCCUGAUGCAGCCAUGCCGCGUGUGUGAAGAAGGCCUUCGGGUUGUAAAGCACUUUCAGUCGUGAGGAAGGCGGUGUAGUUAAUAGCUGCAUCGUUUGACGUUAGCGACAGAAGAAGCACCGGCUAACUCCGUGCCAGCAGCCGCGGUAAUACGGAGGGUGCGAGCGUUAAUCGGAAU
rnacentral:rRNA from 1 species